rnacentral:lncRNA from 1 species
UUUUUUUUUUUUUUUUUUCUGUUUUUUUGGUUUUUGUUUUUUUUUCUUUUUCUUUUUUCUGUUAUUUUUAAAGCAGACUUCAUCUGAAACGUUCUUGCUUCUAAUGUCCAUCCCUGGACUUUGUGUGUGCUGAAUAUUUGCCGUCCUGAGAAGUGAGGUCCUUUCAUGCGCUCUUCCUGUGUUGUAAUCUUUUUGGUAGAUAUUGAAGCUAUCAAAACGUCCUUUGGAUGUGACAUAAUGCAGCUUGCAUUAGAAAUAUGUGGCCAGCUGCAUUUUACAGGAUCAGUGAGAUUUCUCAUUCUCAGUCGGAAGACAUGAUAUCACCCUGCAUCCUCCGGGAUUCCCUAAUGGAAUUGCCAAAAAGCAAAUGAAGGAAAAAGGAGCCUUAGAGCCUUGAAAUUUUUCAACCUUUAAAGAGCAAAUACUACAGCCACUAUUUUGUUUUGUUUUGUUUUUGUUUUUGUUUUUGUUUCUAAGUUUCAGUGCUCACAGCUCCACUUUGGCCUCUGGGGGGCGGGGCUGGGUCUGGAAUGCAGCCCAUCCCCCACUCUCAACGAGGCGGCCGUCCCGCUGCCUGGGCUCUUGGCCAAAGCCUUGGACCACGAAGUCAGUAGAGCAGAAGCUUCAGUUGGGGGCCCUGGAGGAAGCCCCACGGCCAGUAUCCUUCCCCAACCCUGCAGGCGGUGACCACCCAGGCCCGUCCCGCGGCAGCUGUGGUUGUUACAGCGGCGCCUUGGCUUCUUCCCGGAAUGUGUUACAAGCCCAAAUGCCCCCGGGAGGAGGCCCAAACAAGAUUAGGAACGCUAAUUUGAUCCUGUGUUUUGCCUCAAACUAGACACAGUUCCCUCAGAAGAGCUGAUUAACCAGGUCCACCGGGGAGAGACCAACUGCAGAUCCCUGAACUGGUGGUAUCUCCUUCUGCAAGGCGAUAAAGGGGUGGUUGGCCUAAAUGACAGCAAGGCUGGCUGGUCUUUGUUACACUGUGAACAGUCCCGCACUGCGCCACUUGGUUCAUCCAGGGAUAGCGACUAACGAGACAAUAAAAAAAUCCUUUCCUUUUUGUGUAAUUUCUUCCUCUACUGCGACUCAUGCUCAGUUUAUGGCUGAGGUAAUUCAGAACGCUGAAUCCAUCUUGAGCCACUCCUCCUCCCCUGGGGACCGCACUGCCUAAGGAGCCGCUUUU